ACUUGAUUGAAAGUGUGUAUUUCAUCUGAUGUGUUUUUUUCUAAAGCGGAUAUAGAAUUAAUGUAAUGAUGUGUACUUUCAGAAUACCAAGAUUUCCCUGACUUCUCUCCAGAGCUCUCAGCAUCAAGGCGUGAGACCAUGCCCCUCAAUAUCUCUCCACCAAUACAAGAGCCAGCAUCCCAGGGGGCACAGGAGCCAUUGCCAACAGCACCAACUACACAGAGAACCCCAAGAGCCAGGACCAGGACCCGGAAAGUGCUCACUCCAUGUUAUAUGAAGAGGCUUCAGCACUACUGCGACGAGAACUCCCACCUCCAUCAAAUUGUUGCAAGACUUAAAAAGUC